rnacentral:rRNA from 1 species
AUUGAACGCUGGCGGCAUGCUUUACACAUGCAAGUCGGACGGCAGCACAGAGAAGCUUGCUUCUUGGGUGGCGAGUGGCGAACGGGUGAGUAACAUAUCGGAACGUACCGAGCAGUGGGGGAUAACUAAUCGAAAGAUUAGCUAAUACCGCAUAUCUUCUGAGGAAGAAAGCAGGGGACCAUUUGGCCUUGCGCUGUUUGAUCGUCCGAUAUCUGAUUAGCUAGUUGGUGGGGUAAAGGCCUACCAAGGCGACGAUCAGUAGCGGGUCUGAGAGGAUGAUCCGCCACACUGGGACUGAGACACGGCCCAGACUCCUACGGGAGGCAGCAGUGGGGAAUUUUGGACAAUGGGCGCAAGCCUGAUCCAGCCAUGCCGCGUGUCUGAAGAAGGCCUUCGGGUUGUAAAGGACUUUUGUCAGGGAAGAAAAGGGCGGGGUUAAUACCCCUGUCUGAUGACGGCACCUGAAGAAUAAGCACCGGCUAACUACGUG